CCUGCCAUGCCCCUAACCUCCAGGGAGGGAAGAGGGGCUGGAGAUUGAAUCCAAUUACCCAAUGGCCAGUGAUUCAAUCAACCAUGCCUAAGAAACGAAGGGUUUGGAGAACUUCCGGGUUGGUGAAGAAGAAGUCUUAUAUUUGGCACCUACCACAUAUCAAGGUCAGAAGACACAGUGGGGAACGGCCAGAUGGAGCCCUUUCUCUCAGAGCACGUGGACUAGCAAAAAUCCUAGACUCAGGAUCGACUUCCCUGCUCAGGCAAGGCCCCUUCCCCACCUCACUGGUGUCUAACCCCCAACUACCUAGUUUUAGGUUUAGUUAGGAAGAAUUGUCUCAAUAACAGUCUCUUAAAAAGUUAAGAUAGUUUUGAAUAGAGAUGACAAUAUUGGGUAUUUACAAAUCGGAUAUUUAGAAUAUUUGCAAAUUUACAAAUUCUGGGUCACGUAUUCUGCUCCAACUUGUAAUGCAGGCGCACUUGGCUGCUCUGGAAACCAGAAAACGUUGAGAUUGAAUUCAAAUCAAGUAUUUCAGAAAUCUCACAGGUGAAGCCCAGCUCCUGGUUGCUGGGCAACCUGACCGCCUCUCCAGCAGGGACCAAC
rnacentral:lncRNA from 1 species